rnacentral:misc_RNA from 1 species
GAUGAAGAACGUAGCGAAAUGAGAUAAGUAAUGUGAAUUGCAGAAUUCAGUGAAUCAUCGAAUCUUUGAACGCACCUUGCGCCCUUUGGCUAUUCCAGAGGGCAUGCCUGUUUGAGUAUCAUGAACACCUCAACUCUCAUGGUUCUGCCAUGAUGAGCUUGGACUUUGGAGGUCUUGCUGGCCCCUGUGGUCAGCUCCUCUCAAAUGGAUCAGCUUGCCAGUGUUUGGUGGCAUCACAGGUGUGAUAACUAUCUACGCUUGUGGUUUUCCACCAGGUAACCUUCAGUGAUGGAGGUUCGCUGGAGCUCAUAAACGUCUCUCCUCAGCGAGGACAGCUUCUUGAACGUUUGAUCUCAAAUCAGGUAGGGCUACCCGCUGAACUUAAGCAUAUCAAUAACGGAGGA